GGNNCCUUGCGGAAGGAUCAUUACCGAGUGAGGGCCCUCUGGGUCCAACCUCCCACCCGUGUUUAUUUUACCUUGUUGCUUCGGCGGGCCCGCCUUAACUGGCCGCCGGGGGGCUUACGCCCCCGGGCCCGCGCCCGCCGAAGACACCCUCGAACUCUGUCUGAAGAUUGUAGUCUGAGUGAAAAUAUAAAUUAUUUAAAACUUUCAACAACGGAUCUCUUGGUUCCGGCAUCGAUGAAGAACGCAGCGAAAUGCGAUACGUAAUGUGAAUUGCAAAUUCAGUGAAUCAUCGAGUCUUUGAACGCACAUUGCGCCCCCUGGUAUUCCGGGGGGCAUGCCUGUCCGAGCGUCAUUGCUGCCCUCAAGCACGGCUUGUGUGUUGGGCCCCGUCCUCCGAUCCCGGGGGACGGGCCCGAAAGGCAGCGGCGGCACCGCGUCCGGUCCUCGAGCGUAUGGGGCUUUGUCACCCGCUCUGUAGGCCCGGCCGGCGCUUGCCGAUCAACCCAAAUUUUUAUCCAGGUGACCUCGGAUCAGGUAG
rnacentral:rRNA from 1 species